rnacentral:rRNA from 1 species
GCUGAACUUAAGCAUAUCAAUAAGCGAAGGA